UCAGUACCUGCACUUCCGCCGGCGCCCAUCGUGAAGAGGGAAAGUUCCUGUCGCGUGUAUGUGGUUCUCGUCUGGCUAGUGCCAUCCGUCGAAAUCUGCAGGCAUCUUGCACGCUCUCGGUCUGUCUGCUUCUCUGCCCAGUGCAGGGCGCUCAGAACCCUUUCAAGGCGAACCUGUGGACCAGGGUUUUAGUUGAGGACCCUCCCAGGACCCAGGGCGCGGCGUCUGGAUCCCUGUGCCCUGCCUUGCACUGCAACCCUUGCCUUGUGCUUUCCUGCCCGGCCUGGAGACCGAUGGAAGCACCUUGGAUCGGCAGAUUACACCUGCAGCAGCUGGGGGCCCCUACUCUCUUCAACUCCAUGGUGGGCGUCCCCUGCCCAGGGAGAGGAUGCCUGGAAAUAACAGCUUGGGUGCACAGCGGCCAUGAGAGGUGUCUCCAUCCUGCCAGACUGAUGGACCAUGGCGCUCCUGAGUGAGGAUUGUCCCCUGGCAUCUGGAGCUCUGUCCCACAAGGAUAUUUGCGGUUUCCCCAGUUGCAUUUGGCAGUGCGUGAAGGUCCGUGCCCAGUGCCACUAGAGGACAGUAUAUGCCAGAGUGCCGUGGCCCUGGUGUGCUCUUGAGCAGCCCACCCAGCAGAGCAUCAUCAGGCUUGUCUCCAAAGAGCUCCAGUCUCUCCCCCAGGAUUGUCAGCUGAUCUUUGCUGUGUCUGUCAGUGGUCCUCGUGUUUCAAGAAGCAGCUGAAACAGGAUCCUUGCCAGGUGUGGACACCAGAGGGCCAGGGAGUAGACAGCAAGACUACCACUUGAAGUGAAACUAGAGACUGCCCAUUCGGAGCAUCAUGAAACAUCUUUUUAUUAUGUUUAGUAAUUGGCUCAGGCAUGGGAGACUCCAGCAUACAAGGUCUUAACACCAACACCUCAGAGGACUGUGUCCUGUCUCCAAGUCCAUCUGCUAGUGCCUGGAAGGACUAGUGACAAGAGCUUUUCUGUUGAACUUGUUGCCAACUGUGCAAUAAAUAAACCUGAUAGAUGAAUUCA